rnacentral:lncRNA from 10 species
GGACCACCUCACUCUAGUCCAUCCUACACACACUUAGGUGAAGGGACGCUAUACUUUUCUGAGGUCAAUUGUUGGUCAGCAAAGAGGGACUCAGAUAUUUCACUGCAUCAGCCAAAUAAUUAUUUCUCCACCAAUGAUUCUGCUCAUCCACCUCCUCUAACUCCUUUAUUCACAGUGUAUUGGAGUCUCUACAAUGUACUUUUUAUGGUGAUCCUAACAGUUUUCUCAAGGACAGACAUAAUGGAGAAUAACCCACCUCUACAUGGCAGGAUUUUGUCCUCCUUUCUUGUGAUUUGUGUCUUCUCAGUGUGUAGCAGAGCUAAGAAAGUCAUUAGAGAUAAGCAGCAAUUGAAAAACACUGCUGGUGUAACAUUUGCAUUAUGGAUGAGAUGACAACAGCUUGACCCUAGCAACUAACACAAUCUAUCACCUGCUGCCAAGCAACCAAGAGCAAGAAAAGAAGUGGUUAGAAAAGGUAUCACCAGCUCUGGAGUUUUAUGGUAUUCAAUUGACCCAGCACCAUUUAUUGAAAAGGCUAUCCUCUUACUGAAAUGCAGCAAAGUUGUUGUCUUAAAUCAGGUCAUCAAACAUUUGAUUUCAAGUGCAGAAUCAAAGACAUAUAACCAUAAUAAAAUGCAAAAUCACAAGCCCUCAGAAUCAGAAGGGAUGUCAAGGAAAAUGCCUUCCCUCUCUCCACCUCUCUGAAUGCAGAACACUGAAGCUUCUGUGCAUCUGGUGAGCACGUGGUACAGAAUUGCAAGUUUCAUGAGCCCUGAUUAACUUCUCAUAGAGGCUGGCUGUGUUAGACUUUUGCUAAGGCCAAGAGUUUUAUUUUGUUCUAUCCUAUUUCAUUAUUAUAAAAAUCUGGAGAGUUGCUUAUUAUUAUGAACUCCUGUUUGAAGAUAUGGAAAUGAGGAAAAUGAAGACCUAUGGUACUUUUUUAAAAGUGAUACUAUAAAUAAGGAAUAAAAUGUGAAGUUGUGUGGUUGCCUGGAGUUCUUCUGCUUCCCUCAUCCAUAUCAACACAUACAAAUAAAUAAACUCCUGAGUACAUUCAUAUUCUAGGUAUUAAUACUGUUUCACCAAUUAUACACAGCAAGCUCAACAUAGCCAUCUUUCUUCAUCCAUAAUUUUUUCAGUGAUAAAUUUUCGUCAGUGAUGAAAGGCUCAGCUGGAAAAUUCUGCUUAAGAUCUCUCACAUAAUUGUAGUUAGAUAUUGG